CCCUUAGACGUUCUGGGCCGCACGCGCGCUACACUGACCAGUGCAACAAGCAUCCGUCCUUGGCCGACAGGCUCGGGCAAUCUUUGAACGCUGGUCGUGAUGGGGAUAGACUUUUGCAAUUUUUGGUCUUCAACGAGGAAUUCCUAGUAAACGCAAGUCAUCAGCUUGCAUUGAUUACGUCCCUGCCCUUUGUACACACCGCCCGUCGCACCUACCGAUUGAAUGGUCCGGUGAAAUCUCGGGACGGCGGCUCGGUCGCUUGCGUCCGACUGCUGAAACUUGAUUAAACCAUAUCAUUUAGAGGAAGGUGAAGUCGUAACA
rnacentral:rRNA from 1 species